GACGAACGCUGGCGGCGUGCCUAAUACAUGCAAGUCGAACGCAGUGGGGACGGGUGAGUAACCCUUCGGUAACCUCCCAUCAGAGGGGAUAACACUUGGAAACAGGUGCUAAACCGAUACUGAUGGAUGGACCCGCGGUGCAUUAGCUAGUUGGUGAGGUAACGGCUCACCAAGGCCACGAUGCAUAGCCGGCCGGAGAGGGGGAUCGGCAACACUGGGAAUGAGACACGGGCCAGAGUCCUACGGGAGGCAGCAGUAGGGAAUCUGCGGCAAUGGACGAAAGUCUGACCGAGCAACGCGGCGUGAGUGAAGAAGGUUUUCGGAUCGUAAAACUCUGUUGUGAGAGAAGCGGUAUCUAACAAGAAAGCCACGGCUAACUACGUGCCAGCAGCCGCGGUAAUUC
rnacentral:rRNA from 1 species